CUAUAAUUCAACUAAGCUUUGCAGUGUACUGAAUGUAAUAUUUUAUAUAUAAAAAUUAUAAAGUAUUGUAUUCUCACUCACCCAUAUCUGUCAAAUUGCUAGGCAGUUGUAAGGUGUUGUGAUGUUCCUGUGGUCCCGCCACUUCCUCUUCCCCAACUGCAUCCGGGUUAAGAUAAUCUAAAACCAACCCCCAUUUAAUUGCACAGUAAAACCACUCACAUAAUUACUGUUGAUCAGGAUAUACCUUCAUCUGCAGAAACAUAGUAUGUGACUUUGUCUUGAUUGUUGUAGAUAGCUGCUUCUACAUUCUCAUAUGACUGCGUCUCAUCUGUCGAAACAAGCAACAACUGUGCUUUUUAGGGUUUAUUUUUGUGGUACGUCAAUCAUUUUUUUCAUAGACAUAUUAUGUUGAACACUAUGAUUUGAGAUUUGAACACUGUAGUAUUUUACCCUUCUUGUUGUUUUCAGCAUUCUCCAUACACCUCUGAGUACCGCUCUCAGUGUGCCUGUGACAACACACACAUUCAAAAACAUGAAAUAACCAUCUUCUUUAACUAUGUACGUGAACAGAACAAUCCCAAUCAGAAAGGCUGACGCAGGAACUGUGUAGAGUAACCAGUCAGUGAUGGCCUUGCCUGUUGUGUUCAUCCUGAAGCAUCAGAAAGAAAACCGCGUGAUGUAUACGCAAAGAUGGGCAAACCAGAACUGACAGUAAAAGAGAAGAGGAGAAGGACAGAGGAGGCGGAAGAGAUGAAAGGAAGGAGUAACAGAGAAAAACAUCAAAUGUAAAAAAGGAGAAGUGAGAAAGUAAAUAUGUUGUAAACAAUCCUCACAAUGUACAUAACUGUUUUCACAAACUUUCACGUUACUCAGUGGUUCUCAGUCUUUUUAUACCAAGAAGCGCGAUAAUGACCAACAUCAAAAUAGUCACGUAGUAGUCCUUACUAUUCAACUACAGCUCUGUUUUAUUCCUAAUAAGAAUAUUUAUGGUUGUCAGCCACUUUAAUAUUUUAAAUACACAGUUUGAACAUUAACACUGCACUGUGCUUACAUACAGGUAAAUAAAAAACGUAAAAAAUUAUGAAUUAAAAUGUGUUGUACCUAAAUGUUAAAUAAAAACUGUACUGUAAUUAAAUGUAAUCACAGAAUUAAUAAACCUGAAGUGCAUUGACAUUUUAGGAUUAUCUACUGUUCUUUCUGUCUCUCUGUCAAAAUCAAAAAUUUGCUUUAUUGGCAUGACUGUAAAAAUAGCUACAAUAGUGCCAAGGAAUUGCCUCUGUGGAGAAAUAUACAGUAGCCUAGUCAAAAUUUGAAGUAGAUCAAAACCUAUCAUCGAAGUUGUCCUAAAACCUAAAACCAAAAACCAAAAUGCGUUCUUGUCUUAAGACAACUUUGAUGAACUUUUUUGAUCCACUUCAAAUGCUGACUACAGUGAUAACAUUUAAGUUGUAGUACCAUUUCCCAACCACCAACUGGUGAACCCCCAAAGUGUUGUCUAUGAUUACAUUUAAUUGUUGUCUUUGUAUCACUUUUUUUGUUUUGAGAUAUUGCAUAAUAUAUUCAAAAAGGCGGAGGAAAGAGGAGAUGCACCAGUUACCAUAGGUGCUAAAUGUUAGCAUAAAUCCUUUUAUUUUCAGAAAAUCAGACAGGUACAAAACAAUACUUUUCAGCUAAAUAGGAUGCCAGAAAUACUUUCAUCCAGAUUUUAAUUAUAUUUUUCUUGUAUGUUUUUUCUGUGUCCACUACAGUGGACUUCAUGCACUAAAGGGGUGGGCCUGGCUAGAUUCUACCUUAUUAUAUAUGUUUUAUUAAAAUUAUGAUAUAAUUAACACUUGAAUGGUUUUAUUGAACAGAAAUAUUAAACAGACUUCAGACUGUAUAAUUUAUAGCAAUGCUAUAUUAGGUCAUAUAAAAGUGUAGGCAGGUAUAGAUGAGUGCAUGAUUGUGCUCAAGUGUGUGGUGGGAUGGUGUGUGUGUGUGUGUG
ensembl:lncRNA